rnacentral:rRNA from 1 species
UGUAGUCUCCAUGAUGAUGCAUAUAUGUCAACUAUGGGUGUUGGGUCCAACAAUUCGCAUUGGUCUCAAACCAAUGACAUCCAUUUGGAAGACCAUGAGUUUGAGGUGGACGAGGAGGGUGAGGGCAUUGUCGACACACCGAAAGGAAGAGCGGGCAAUUACAGCACCAACGAUGACAAGUUACUAUGCAAUACUUAUUUGCAAGUGUCGAGGGAUCCAUCCGUUGGAGGUGAUCAAAGUAGAGAUGUGUAUUGGGGGCAAAUGAAAGAAUACUUUGAUGAUCACAACAUGAGUGGAAUUGACCGCUCGGAUAGAUCACUUCGGUCCCGAUGGUCCACAAUCAACUCGGAUUGUCAAAAGUGGGCGGCCGCACAAAAGUCAGUUGACAAGAUUAACCCAAGUGGCACAAAUGAGGAUGAUAGAGUAAGUGGAAUCUCAUAUAUGUUCAUCUCAUAG